UAUAAAUAUAUGAUGGUGUGGUCAUCAUUUGUAGGACAAUCAAAAUAAGCCAUAUGCACUACAAAGUCUUAUACCUCUACUACACCUAAAAGCCUUUCACCUCAUAAAUUUCCUCCUUGUAAUAUAAUCCACUAUUCUUCUAAUACUCCACUUUUGUACUCUCAUAUUUUAAACAUAGUGGAAUUAUUUUUCAUUGUUCGUGUGUUUCUUCUAGCUUAUUGCUUGUCUUACAUUCUCUAUUUAUUUUCUCGAUUCACAUACAUUUCCGCUACGCUCUUAAACCCAACA
rnacentral:lncRNA from 1 species